rnacentral:tRNA from 1 species
GUCCAAGCUCAAGUGGUAGAGCACAUGCUUAGCAAGCAUGAAGCCCUGAGUUUAAGUCCCAGGACA